rnacentral:rRNA from 1 species
GAUGAACGCUGGCGGCGUGCCUAAUACAUGCAAGUCGAACGCUUUGUCUUUAACUGAUAUGAAGAGCUUGCUCUGAUUUGAUUUUAUCUGACAAAGAGUGGCGAACGGGUGAGUAACACGUGGGUAACCUACCUCUUAGCAGGGGAUAACAUUUGGAAACAAGUGCUAAUACCGUAUAAUACCAACAACCGCAUGGUUGUUGGUUGAAAGAUGGUGCUGCUAUCACUAAGAGAUGGACCCGCGGUGCAUUAGCUAGUUGGUAAGGUAACGGCUUACUAAGGCAAUGAUGCAUAGGCGAGUUGAGAGACUGAUCGGACACAAUGGGACUGAGACACGGCCCAUACUCCUACGGGAGGCAGCAGUAGGGAAUCUUCCACAAUGGGCGCAAGCCUGAUGGAGCAACGCCGCGUGUGUGAUGAAGGGUUUCGGCUCGUAAAACACUGUUAUAAGAGAAGAACCGCACUGAGAGUAACUGUUCAGUGUGUGACGGUAUCUUACCAGAAAGGAACGGCUAAAUACGUGCCAGCCGCCGCCGUAA